CCCCUCCCCUCCGAUUCCAGCAGCCCUUCAUUGCCAAAAGACCCAAUUUUUUUUCAAAAUUCCCUCUUCUCUCAAAACCCUAACUAGUCGCCAACCUCCACCACACCACCACCAACCAAUACAAGCCGCCGCAGUCGCCGACGACUUCUUGCCGCCGCUGCCAUCGCUUCUCAAACAAAAAUUAUCAUGGAACGAUACUUUAAGAGAAAAGUGCCUAUGGAUGGUGAGUCUAAUCCGGGUAGUUCAAGUGCAAGAGCAAGACCUAUUGAAUUAGAUGAAAUAUUGGCUAAUCUUCAGGCAGACCUUGGACUAAGAACUCAAAUGACGGAUUAUAGUCCUAAUCAUCGAGAUGAGAUCCGUAGAGCAUAUCUUCAAAAAUGAUCUUGUCAACCUAAAGGUUAUAGAUUCCCACAAACUAAUCAGUCAGAAAUUAAUAGACGGUUUAUUGCCCAAUGGUUUGAUAAGUUUGAUUGGUUGGAGUAUAGUAUAGUUAAAGAUGCUGCAUUUUGCCUCCAUUGCUAUUUCUUUAAAACUAAUUUUGAUCAAGUGGGUGGUGACACAUUCACUGGGAUAGGCUUCAAUAACUGGAAGAAGGGGAGAGAAAGGUUUAACAUUCAUGUUGGACCGGUUAGCAGUGUUCACAACCAAGCUAGAGAAGCUGCUUACAAUCUGAUGAAUAAAAAAGCACACAUUGAAAGAUUUUUCGAAUAGAGCUUUAGUAAUGCUUGGGGUUUAUGUUCA